AUUGAACGCUGGCGGCAGGCCUAAUACAUGCAAGUCGAACGAGUGGCGGACGGGUGAGUAAUGUAUGGGAAACUGCCUGAUGGAGGGGGCUAAAUACUGGAAACGGUAGCUAAUACCGCAUACCAUCAGAUGUGCCCAGAUGGGAUUAGCUAGUUGGUGGGGUAACGGCUGACCAAGGCGACGAUCCCUAGCUGGUCUGAGAGGGUGACCAGCCACACUGGUACUGGGACACGGUCCAGACGCCUACGGGAGGCAGCAGUGGGGAAUAUUGCACAAUGGGCGAAAGCCUGACGCAGCCAUGCCGCGUGUAUGAAGAAGGCCUUCGGGUUGUAAAGUACUUUCAGCAGGGAGGCGGUACCCACAGAAGAAGCACCGGCUAACUCCGUGCCAGCAGCCGCGGUAAUAC
rnacentral:rRNA from 1 species